GAGGCCCAGAACCUUGGGGAGGCAGCCGGAGGAGGGGUUCCUAAAGACUCAAAGGCGGCCUGACUUAUAAAAGAAGUAGAACACACAUGCUUCCCAUUAGGUGAGAAAGAAACAUGCCUGAGAGUCUAAUGGAUUACUCAAGUCUGUGCUGCCAAGGAAGAACAGAAUCUUUAGAUAUCAUGUGUUUUACAAAUUGAAGUUUGUGGAAACCCUGCAUCAAACAAGUCUAUUGGUGACAUUUUCCCAACAGCAUUUGCUCACUUUGUGUUUCUGUGUCACAUGUUGAUAAUUCUUACAAUAUUUGAAACCUUUUUUAUUAUUAUACAUGUUCUGGUGAUCUGUGAUCAGUGAUCUUUGAUGUUACUACUGUAAUUUUUUUGGAUGCUGUGAACUGUGCCCAUAUAAAAUGGUGAAUUAAAUCAAUACAUGUUGUGUGGUUCUUACUGCUCCAAUGACCAGUUAUUCCCCAACCUCUCUCCCUGUUCGCAGACCUUCCUAGUCCCUGAGACAACAAUCUUGAAAUUAGGCUAAUUAACAAUCCUACAGUGUCCUCUAAGUGUUCAA
rnacentral:lncRNA from 1 species